AUGAACGCGCCAGAACACAUCAUCCUAGCCUCAUUCAUGCAAGGAAGGGGUGUCCAUGCAUGUGUCUCAGAGUUGUACAUCUCCGCGGCACUCAGUUUCCUUCCAAGCGAAUCGAUCCCCCCCGCGACAUAUGCCUUUUCACCAGCACUUGUCGACCCAAAUAGGCAAAGCGGUGAGUUCAUCGGACCAGCCCGUGUCCAUGAAUUUGUUAGGAUGCUAUAUUUGUAUACAAUGUGUGCCAUCCCAAACACCAGUAGCUCGGUUCCGACAGCGAGGGACUCCUUGUCGGAGCACAUGAAGCAUUCGUCUUGUGGCAUCCUGGGCACUUCGAUCCAGCGUCCGCAGUGUGGGUCGUAA
rnacentral:rRNA from 1 species